rnacentral:rRNA from 1 species
UUUUUGAUUAAUAAUUUAAAGUCUAAUCUGCCCACUGAUAAUAUAUUAAAGGGCUGCAGUAUUUUGACUGUACAAAGGUAGCAUAAUCAUUAGUCUCUUAAUUGGUGACUUGUAUGAAAGAUUUAAUGAGAUAUAUACUGUCUCUUUUUAAUUUAUAAAAUUUAAUUUUUUAGUUAAAAAGCUAAAAUAUAUUUAAAAGACGAGAAGACCCUAUAGAGUUUAAUAUUUAAUUAAAUUAAAAUUAUUUAUAAAAUUUAAAAUUUUAAUUUAAUUAAAUAUUUUGUUGGGGUGAUAAAAAAAUUAAAAGAACUUUUUUUAUAAAUUUACAUUAAUAAAUGAAUAAAUGAUCCGUAAUUUACGAUUAAAAGAAAAAAUUACCUUAGGGAUAACAGCGUAAUUUUUUUUUUUAGUUCAAAUAAGAAAAAAAGUUUGCGACCUCGAUGUUGGAUUAAGAUAAAAUUUAAAUGCAAAAGUUUAAAAUUUUU